rnacentral:rRNA from 1 species
GAUCAUGGCUCAGAUUGAACGCUGGCGGAAUGCUUUACACAUGCAAGUCGAACGGUAGAGGGGGCAACCCUUGAGAGUGGCGAACGGGUGAGUAAUACAUCGGAACGUGCCCGAUCGUGGGGGAUAACGAAGCGAAAGCUUUGCUAAUACCGCAUACGAUCUACGGAUGAAAGCAGGGGACCGCAAGGCCUUGCGCGAACGGAGCGGCCGAUGGCAGAUUAGGUAGUUGGUGGGAUAAAAGCUUACCAAGCCGACGAUCUGUAGCUGGUCUGAGAGGACGACCAGCCACACUGGGACUGAGACACGGCCCAGACUCCUACGGGAGGCAGCAGUGGGGAAUUUUGGACAAUGGGCGAAAGCCUGAUCCAGCCAUGCCGCGUGCAGGAUGAAGGCCUUCGGGUUGUAAACUGCUUUUGUACGGAACGAAAAGACUCUGGUUAAUACCUGGGGUCCAUGACGGUACCGUAAGAAUAAGCACCGGCUAACUACGUG